rnacentral:rRNA from 1 species
CAGCCGUAAACUAUGCGCGUUAGGUGUACUGGUGACCACGAGUCACCGGGGUGCCGAAGGGAAACCGUGAAACGUGCCGCCUGGGAAGUACGGUCGCAAGGCUGAAACUUAAAGGAAUUGGCGGGGGAGGCACCACAACGGGUGGAGCCUGCGGUUUAAUUUGGACUCAACGCCGGAAAUCUCACCGGAUAGGACAGACAUAUGAUAGUCGGGCUGAAGACUCUACUUGAUGAUCUGAGAGGAGGUGCAUGGCGUCAGUGACU